UCAUUUUAAAGUCAGUUAUUAAACGUUUUAAUCUGCUUUAGUUGCCCUCUUCAAAAAGAGAUAUAUUUAAUUGCAUUUUAUUGAUCUUUAGCCACUAUGUAGCCCAUCUUAACAGUUUGAUACUAUUUGAAUUGCUUUGUCUUUGGAGGUAGCCUUUCUUUAGGCUACUGUCUAUCUUUAUCCCCCAAUAUCUUAAAUAAUAAUGUAAAAUAUAAAAACUAGCCUUUAAGUAUAUUCCAUGUCUAGCAGUCCUCAAAAUGAAACCAACCCAUGAAUAAGUGGAUUCCAGUCUCAUUAACCAAUUUUAAAUAACUCAUGAAAGUUUUUGUGGCCUACUCCAAGGGUGAGAAACCUUUAUUUAAACAAUUUACAAAUUCUGACACACAAUGCCCUUCACCACAAAGUCACUUUAUUCAGUUUUGUUCACGUUUCUUUAAUAUUCUGUCCAGUGUGGAAAGGGAAUAGAAACAUUUUCUCUGGUAAUACAAACAGUGAAAAGUCUUGAGUGAACGACGUAUGCAUUUUAUUAGCAUUUUAGAUUUAGUGUUGAUACUUAUUUAACAUUUUGACAAAUUGAUCUUUUUGUUAAAGCUCUGGUGACCAAAGACUCGAGGCUGUAACACAACUGGAGAAUAUUUAGGUUAUAGUCUGAGCUCAUCCUCUGGUAAGAAAGUCUCUUAAAAUGCUACAAAAGGCCUCUCACAGACAUCGCCUGGUUCCUGUGACUCCCUUUGCAGACGUAAGCUGAAUUUUCACAACAGGAACUUCCUCUGAGACGAAGACCCAUUCAAGGAACUCAAUGUGUGUUUUUGCUGCAGGGUCCACAGUUGAAUACAAUUCUGAGGACAUUCUUUUUUUAAGCCUUUAACUCACAGAUUGAUGGGUGGAUUGAUGACGUACAAAGGAACAACAUUGUCUGGCGCUAUAUUACAGUUUUUGCAUCAGUGCUACCUGUAGUUAGGCGUAUUCACAGUUUUUUACGAAUGAGUGGUAAAGCAGAUACUUGCAAGCUGAAAAUAAAAGAAUGCAGCUUCA